rnacentral:lncRNA from 1 species
UUCAAUUCAGAACUACAGACUUAAGUUAGAUAUUGUCACAUCUGAGCCCGUUUUCCAGGAACACUGGAAAUGGUAAAAGUCACAUUAGAAGAUAGCACAGAGCUCUAGGCCUACAAGGAAGUAACAUAGUACCCAUACAGUUUCAUUUGUGAGACAGUAGAAAUAAAAAUGUUUUGAUGCACUAUUUUAUACACUCCUUUAUUUCCUACCCAGGAGCGGAUGAAAAGACUUAAUGAAAUUGUUGAUGCUGCCAAUGCUGUUAUUUCUCACAUCGAUCAGACCGCUCUCGCUGUUUACAUUGCCAUGAAGACUGACCCCAGGCCUGAUGCAGCUACUAUAAAAAAGUACCUGACCAUGAUAUGGACAAGCAGAAAUCUACCCUGGUAGAUGCCCUCUGCAGGAAAGGAUGUGCUCUGGCAGACCACCUUCUUCAUGCACAGCCCCACGAUGGGGCAGCAGCUGGAGAUGCAGAAGCAAAAGAAGAGGAAGGAGAAAGUACCUUGGAAUCUCUAUCAGAAACCUAUUGGGAAACUACAAAGUGGACAGAUCUUUUUGACACUAAGGUAAUUUACCCUUUUGCUAUUGGUCUUGGUACAGCUCUGGGUAGUGAAAUCUCAGGCCUUCUUGUGCUCUGUCUGCCAAAGAGGACGAAGAUGAAGCUCCACUCUCAAGAAGAUGCAUCUUAACCUAAAUACCUUGCAUUCGUCCAACGUAUUUUAAAGUGUUCAACAAUGAUUUUGAAAACAAUUUUGUGGAUAUUCAUAGCAGCCUUUUAAGACAGUAAUAUGAUCUUCUAGAAAAUUGUCCUUUUUUUUUUUUUUCUUUUCUUUUUUUCGGAGCUGG